CUGAUUUCCUUCGUGUUUCCAUUUUCUUCAUAUAGCACAAAAAAGUACUUGUGGUUAUGCUUGAGAAUGAGCACCAUACCGUUCACCGCCGCCACACCGGGUCGUUCAACGACACAACCCGAAGUAGUUCGACGUCGCAGCUCGGGAGGCACACACUUCACCCCUCCAUCCCAGGAGAGCAGUACAUCUUGUGCGCGAGCAGUCUGUUGUUGAUGUACACUGCUGCUCUAAGCUCCUUGGCCACUACUCCAGUAUGUCUAGCAUCGUCCCCAGUCCAGCCCCAUGGCAUUUGGACGGUCGAGUUCAUGCCGAGCAGCAGUCCACGCCCAUCAGCUCCUAUUUCCACUAUAGUGGUUGGGUUGCCGUUUUCCUCAUCCUUCUCGGUGCGCGACAACCCAGCCCACAUGUUGCUGUCGUCCGCCACCCCAAAUAGCUUUGGCUCUUCCUCAAGCAACCAUUUGGAGAACCUUUUGGUGUUUUUCUACUGGUGAUUGAUUUUAGCAAUUUGUAGCUAUCUUGCGUAUGAAAUCUGAAAGUUCAAGAUUGCUGCAGAUUCAAUUCUUGCAGUACAAAUGUCCCAGAGUUUAGUGACAUCUGUAAUUGAGGUACUAUGGUCUUGCAUCUCCAAUGUAUGUUGCUGAGCAUCCUCCCAAUCCGCUCGAUCAACUUCUUAUUCCACCUCCAAAAAAAAUUCUUUUUGAGUUCUAUCCUUCGUCACAGGUUCACCGCUAUUACCUCAGUGCAAACGUGCCAAAGAGUUUAGUUCAGACUAUACUAAAUGUCCAUAUUAUAGAUAAUAUUUGCAUUGUCUUAAAUUUCUGGAAACAAGCUUCAGUACAAGAAAAAUGGGCCAGUUAGUUCAUCCAUAUCCAAACCCCCGUCGACGUGCGGCGGCAGGAAACAUUUUCAGGUAUUUCCUUAAAUACUUCGGUCUUGUGCAGCUGGUACUAGUGUGAAUGGGUAGCAAGUUCAACUACCAAUCCACACCAAGUUCAGUCCAGAUGGAAGAAGGAGAUCCGUCCAAAGUGUGAGUUUUGCGACGUCGACGUGCAAGUUCUACAAUUUAUCUGUCCAGAUGGGAGAAGGAGAUCAAUCCAACCGAUGCAUCUGAAGCGACAUAUGCAGAGCCAUUCUCCUGAGAGCCAAAUCCUGGCGCGCCCAGCCGCUGCUCGUGAACCCCGCCUCCAUCAGCUCCACUUCACUGGAGUCGUCAGUCCACAGGAAUAGGGGUAGUGGAUCCCCUAUAGCGGCCAAAUCCCGGUGCGCCCAGCCGCUGCUUGUGAACCUCGCCUCCAUCAGCUCCACUUCACCAGAGCCGCCAGUCCGCAGGAGUAGGGGUAGCAGGUUCACCCAACGUCCGACGCCUUCUUCCAUCUCCAAAAAUCUUGUUUUUUGAGUUCAGUUCUUUGUCACAUGUUUCACUAGCUAAAAAAUGCAUGGUGUUCUGAAAUUGCUUGCGGACCACUAGCUGAAAUUGCUUGACGAACAAAAGCAAAGGGCCCAAACCCACUGUCGUGCAAGAAAAAGAAAGCAAAGCCCCAACCAUCAGCUCCUCAAUCAUCAGAACUAAUAGUAAGAUGGAGAAGAGAUAAUGCAACAAAAAUCUUAGAUGGGGCAGUCAAGUCCAUUGCGCAUUCUGAUUUUUUGUAGCUCCGGACAUCAGUUGUAUUGAGACAUGGAUGGCUCUACACCUGAAGCACAUAUAUCUGACAAGCAUGAUCACAUGUUCCCUUCGGAGUCUGAUGGUCGAUGGAGAGGCGAAGCGAAAGACGGUUAGGAAGCACGAGAGAAGUGGCAAAGACAGUAGGUCCAUGUGUAUUUAACAGCAAGUCCAUGUAUUACUACAUGAGAAGUACUGCUAGUGAGACUUCACUGCCCCAUUUCAACAAACUUGUAUACGCAAUCCUAGUUUGACAAAGUACUCUACUGCUGCUGGUUUCAGUUCCCUCACUGGAUUUGCAGGCUCCCGACCAUCCUCCAACACCCCGUCAGUGCCACUGAUUUGAAGGACCUCUGUGAGCGUGUACUUCUCCUGCACGAGAGAGGUUUGGACGGACGCUGAUCACUAGCUCUUAUGACGCCGCCGAUCACUAGAACGAAGGACACCAGCAGGUUGAGAAUGAAGUACAUGAGGCAGACAAUGAGGACGACCAAAACAUGGAAUCCGUACACAUAGCACCAACUGCAAAUUCGAACUUUCUGUCUAUGAUGAUUUGAUUGCUACUUCUUAAAGAAAGUGUACAUAAUAGUUAGAUGUUUGUGCUAGAAAGGAAAACUUGUUUGAAUUAAAAUCAUUGACCAGUACGAAUCAAAAACAUUGAUAAGUUCGAUA